rnacentral:rRNA from 1 species
UGGGGAAUUUUGGACAAUGGGGGAAACCCUGAUCCAGCCAUCCCGCGUGUGCGAUGAAGGCCUUCGGGUUGUAAAGCACUUUUGGCAGGAAAGAAACGUCAUGGGUUAAUACCCCGUGAAACUGACGGUACCUGCAGAAUAAGCACCGGCUAACUCCGUGCCAGCAGCCGCGGUAAUACGUAGGGUGCAAGCGUUAAUCGGAAUUACUGGGCGUAAAGCGUGCGCAGGCGGUUCGGAAAGAAAGAUGUGAAAUCCCAGAGCUCAACUUUGGAACUGCAUUUUUAACUACCGGGCUAGAGUGUGUCAGAGGGAGGUGGAAUUCCGCGUGUAGCAGUGAAAUGCGUAGAUAUGCGGAGGAACACCGAUGGCGAAGGCAGCCUCCUGGGAUAACACUGACGCUCAUGCACGAAAGCGUGGGGAGCAAACAGG